rnacentral:rRNA from 1 species
UACGUAGGGGGCGGGCGUUGUCCGGAUUUAUUGGGCGUAAAGAGCUCGUAGGCGGUUCGAUAAGUCGGACGUGAAAUCUCCACGCUCAACGUGGAGGGGCCGUUCGAUACUGUCGUGACUCGAGUCCGGUAGGGGAGUGUGGAAUUCCCGGUGUAGCGGUGAAAUGCGCAGAGAUCGGGAGGAACACCCGUGGCGAAGGCGGCUCUCUGGGACGUGACUGACGCUGAGACGCGAAAGCGUGGGGAGCGAACAGG